CUCACUUUUUUUUUUUCUAAUUCAGUUUAGGGAUCUUAUCAUUUACACUAAUAGUUGUGUUGAAUUUCUGAGUGAUUCUGUUUAAUUCAUUUUGAUAUUUUUCUCCAAAAUGUUGAUUUGGUUGAGCAUACCUUGCGUUUAAUUCCUCAUCUUCUCAGCCUUCCGCUUCCUGAAGCUAUGCAGGGAGGUUCAAUUUCACCAUAACAACACCAUCAUUUUAGUCCGUUACAGAACCCCAUUAACAACAUUAUUUUCGACCUUUAAUUCAAAAUCGUCUAAUCAAUUUUAUAAGCUAUACAGGCAGCUGUGAGAGGUGCCAUCCAUCUUAGGUAAUUGUUUAAUUCUUUUCAAUUAUAGUUUGAUUUUGCCCAUUUUUUUUCUUUGUUCCUAACUUUGAUUUUAAAUUGUGUUCCUGACAUGUCUUUUCUAAAACAUAAGCACCUUAAACAUAUUUUGGUACCCUUACUGUUUGAUUAUUGUUAUUUAUGGCAGUGAGGUACCUAGCCAUUAGUCUCAAGAUAAAUAGCCAGGUGAUGGAAAAAGUGCACUUUUAAAUUUUAUGGUUUGGUGCGAGUUCUUCUCCAUUUUAAUUGUCAGACGUUACGCGUAUCAAUUAAAGUUGUUUUGAUGCAUCGAUUGAUCAUAAGUUACGAAUUAAAAAAAAUCCAAUUAAAAGUUGUUUUGAUCGAUUGGUUUUGUUAUAAAUUUUGAUGUAUUAUUGCAGAUUUUUGUUGGUUGCGGACAUAACGAGGAAAAAGCUAGCGCAUCCGUUUCAGACUACUGUCAUGAAAUUCGUUAUUUGUACCAUCCCUCAAGGCAUAGAUGUUCAUAAUAACAGGGAAGUCGUUAUUUGUAGUCUCCCAAUGGGGUUAAAGAUUUUUUUUUCCUUUUUGGUGUGCUUGAAUUUUGAUAACAAAUCCGUGUCUUUGUUUUGCAGGGGGAUUAUGAGGAGAAGUCACAUGAAAAACUGCAUUUGUUCAUUGCUCUCAAAUUUGAAAAACCCCUUGAAUUCGAGUGGGGCUAUAGGUAUGUGUUUGCUUUUGGUGAUCUAAUAGAGGUAUAAAGCACCACCAAUCUGACCGACUACAGUGACCUCAGUCUAAUUAAAUUGAUGCUCAACAUCUCAUAUGGAUGCUUUUUCAUAACAAAUGCUAGAGACAUCUCUGUAGACAAUCCCAUUCAAGUCAUUCGUAUAAAGGUAUAUGGAUGGAGAUAAUUCUAGCAGUAGUUGGUGAAAUAGUGUCAAAUUAGAUUUUCUUGGAAAUUCAGAGGUAUUUGCGGUUUCAGCUCUUUUAAAAGGAUGUAUUUAAAGUUUUAUGGUGAACUGGGAAGUGUGGUCUCUAUAUGUGGCAUUUAUGUAUUGGACUAAUUGGCUUACGUUUCUGAUGCGAUGGCAAGGGGCACGUUUGCUGAUAUCCACAUUGUCGACGAGCUCUUAAAGGGAAAACUUGGCCCGAAGAUCGUUCAUAUCCCAUCUAGACAGAUGAAACUUUACAUGUUUCACACAUCUCAGGUGAGUUUGCAUGUGCACUUUGUUAAGUCCAUUUCAUGAGAUUAAUUCUUCUCUUUCUUCCCUGUUAGAAAUCAGGGUAAUCUAAUUGGACUCUCAUGUAUUUGGUAAACAUGGGGUCAGAAAAUGACUUCUCAAGCUACUCUCUUGAAUAGACGAUAUACAAAUUUGAACUGCAACCAAAACAAGUGCUAAUGUCUUCCAAGUCAUGUAUGAAAACAUAAGUAGUGAUGCGUUUCGUAAUUUAGUGAAGAAAUGUUUAACCGAUCCCUCAACAUUUUUAUUUGGUUUAUGUUAUUGAUCCCUUCUUCUUUUAUUUUGGUUUUCUGUGAGUCUGCUAUCAUAUAUUCGUUAUUUGCAGAAAAUAGAUCCAAGUGCGUAAAGUGGCUUACAUAGUCGUCACUUAGAUUUUGUUCUGACUUGCAUGUUUCCACUAAACUGGAGGUGGAAGCAUAUGAAUUUUAGACCACUCCUAAGGAGUUCAUGCACAUUUUUCGGCUGCCGCACUAUCCAUUCCUGGCAAUUAUGGAUUUAUUUACAUUCCCUGUUAAAGUUAAUUUUGUAUUCCUUUGUCUUUUCCUCAAUUUUGUUGGUCGGGUGUCCUUGAAUUGGGAAAUCUGAAUUCCAUAGUUACAUUGUGGAAUGUAUCUACUCAUUCAGAUUCUAAUAUCAAUGGCAAACAAGAGUUUGAUGGGAA